GACGAACGCUGGCGGCGUGCUUAACACAUGCAAGUCGAACGAUGAAGCUGGAGCUUGCUCCGGUGGAUUAGUGGCGAACGGGUGAGUAACACGUGAGCAAUCUGCCCUUGACUCUGGGAUAACUGCAGGAAACUGUAGCUAAUACCGGAUACGAGGCUCGAAGGCAUCUUCGGGUCUGGAAAGAAUUUCGGUCUAGGAUGAGCUCGCGGCCUAUCAGCUUGUUGGUGAGGUAAUGGCUCACCAAGGCGACGACGGGUAGCCGGCCUGAGAGGGUGACCGGCCACACUGGGACUGAGACACGGCCCAGACUCCUACGGGAGGCAGCAGUGGGGAAUAUUGCACAAUGGGCGAAAGCCUGAUGCAGCAACGCCGCGUGAGGGAUGAAGGCCUUCGGGUUGUAAACCUCUUUUAGCAGGGAAGAAGCGAAAGUGACGGUACCUGCAGAAAAAGCACCGGCUAACUACGUGCCAGCAGCCGCAGUAA
rnacentral:rRNA from 1 species